AAAACGGAGAGUUUGAUCCUGGCUCAGGAUGAACGCUGGCGGUAUGCUUAACACAUGCAAGUCGAACGGUGUCUUCGGACAUAGUGGCGGACGGGUGAGUAACGCGUGAGAAUCUAGCUUCAGGUCUGGGACAACCACUGGAAACGGUGGCUAAUACCGGAUGUGCCGGAAGGUGAAAGGCUUGCUGCCUGAAGAUGAGCUCGCGUCCGAUUAGCUAGUAGGUGGGGUAAGAG
rnacentral:rRNA from 1 species